rnacentral:rRNA from 1 species
UACAGAGGCCUCGAGCGUUAGGCGGAAUCACUGGGCUUAAAGCGUGUGUAGGCGGAGUUCUAAGUACCUUGUGAAAUCCCACGGCUCAACCGUGGAACCGCUUGGUAUACUGGUUCUCUUGAGGUACCUAGGGGCGAGCGGAACAAGUGGUGGAGCGGUGAAAUGCGUAGAUAUCACUUGGAACGCCAACGGUGAAAACAGCUCGCUGGGGGUAUCCUGACGCUGAGACACGAAAGCCAGGGGAGCAAACGGG